rnacentral:tRNA from 1 species
GCCGGAUCAAGUGGCGCGCCGCACGGCUCUGACCGGGGUAAACAGCACCGCGCGGCAGCACAGGCGCCCCCCGGCAAGGAUUCGAUCCCACUCCUGAAGCGGGUGUCGCAGGUUCGAAUCCUGCCGGGGGCA